ACCCGGGCGUCGGGAGCAGGGGAAGCGUCGCGGAGAGGACAAUCCGAGAAAAGGGGAACGAGACAGAGAAAGGAGCAUGGCCCCUGCGCAAGAAUGCCCGCAUAAAUCGAAAGGGUUCAAAUGGUGUUGCUCUACUCCUCCAGCGGGGGACCGCAUCCUUUCAUGCAGCAAAACGGUUCCGUCGUUUCAAUGUUCUUCAGGGUUGCCCAGUUCCACACUGGAAUGAGGAUCGUCAGAUUUCUUUUACCAGAUCAUUCCAGUAUCCAGGCUUCCCAAUCUGCAUAAAGGUAGAACUAUUUAAUCGACGUUCCAAGCAAUGGCUCCACAAGUGAUGAUAAAUCCAGGAACAUAUGGGACAAUAACUCUAAACAUGAGAGGACGAGGGGGUAUAUAAUUCCUUAUUGGGCCAUUUUUUUGCUUUUACUGUUGGCAAAUGGCAAUAACCUCGGAAAAUUUCCUAUAUAUCUUCUUGAAUUUGAAUUUUUUAUUGAAUUUGGAUGAAAUGUAAUAUAAAAUUGUAUUAGAAUUUAUUCAAAUUCAUCCAAAUCCAAAUCAAAGGCGGGAAAUUUAGGCUUGAAAUGCUCCCCACGGCAGCAUUUCGGUUAUGGUUCCACUUAUGGAUUGUUCAUCAUAUAUUUAGCUAAUUUUUGUGUUUCACA